rnacentral:lncRNA from 1 species
UUUGUUUCAUUCUAUGUUUGGGGUUGCUAUUGGAAUGUCAACAUAUAUGUUUGGGGUAGCUAUGCAGUAGUAAUAAAAGUGAGUUCACCUAAAAAGAGAGAAAAGUUGAAAAAAAAGCUUAACUAAAAAAACAAUAAUACACAUGAGCACUCACCAGAAGAAGAACUCAAUUGAAAAAAAUUGAGAAGUCCAAACUAGAUGACCAAAGAACAACAAUGUUUAAUCGAUUCCAACAAUGAUACUUUAG